rnacentral:lncRNA from 1 species
CAUCUUCUUCCCUACUAACACUAUCAUUUAGUCCUUCACCAUCGAUUUCUUUAGGGAACUCAACCUCAAAUUACUCUCUAGAGCUUCCACUUUCAGUCUCAUCAAGUACUGUUUCCUUACCUUUCUCACUGGUUUCCCCCUCUACUUUCUUCACAUUUUGCCUAGCUUCUUGAAGCUCUUCAUCAUCAUCACCAUCUGGUAAGUACAUAACCUUUAUCAAAUAAGCAUUCUCAUCCUUUGAAUCACUAUCACUUUCAUCCCUAACCCCCUCCUCACCACCUCCAUCACUCUCACCACAUUCACUGACAAUAACACCAACCCCCUCCUCACCACCUUGUCACUCUCUCCACCUUUAUUGACAUCAACAUCAUCACCCUCCCCACCUAAACCUUCAGCAACCUCACCACCCUCCUUAACACCCUGACCUUCAACACCCUCACCAACUUUCUUGCUAGCAACCUCACCACCCUCCCCCUCAUCACUUUUACUGCCAACAAC